rnacentral:rRNA from 1 species
ACGUGGACAAUCUGCCCCCCGGCCCGGGAUAGCCCAGGGAAACCUGGAUUAAUACCGGAUGAGACGGGACCCGCGAUGGCGGGAUCCGGGAAAGGCGCUGCGGCGCCGCCGGGGGAUGAGUCUGCGUCCCAUUAGCUAGACGCGGGGUAACGGCCCACCGUGGCGACGAUGGGUAGCCGGCCUGAGAGGGUGACGGCCACAUUGGAACUGAGACACGGUCCAGACUCCUACGGGAGGCAGCAGCUAAGAAUCUUCCGCAAUGGGCGAAAGCCUGACGGAGCGACGCCCGCGUGAACGAAGAAGGCCGUGAGGUUGUAAAGUUCUUUUCGGGAGGGGGAACAACCGUGGCAGGGAAUGGCCGCGGGAUGACGUGAAUCCCGGAAUAAGCCCCGGCUAACUACGUGCCAGCAGCCGC